CAGUGAUAAACUGGAGGAAGGUGGGGAUGACGUCAAGUCAUCAUGGCCCUUACGACCAGGGCUACACACGUGCUACAAUGGCGCAUACAAAGAGAAGCGACCUCGCGAGAGCAAGCGGACCUCAUAAAGUGCGUCGUAGUCCGGAUUGGAGUCUGCAACUCGACUCCAUGAAGUCGGAAUCGCUAGUAAUCGUGGAUCAGAAUGCCACGGUGAAUACGUUCCCGGGCCUUGUACACACCGCCCGUCACACCAUGGGAGUGGGUUGCAAAAGAAGUAGGUAGCUUAAC
rnacentral:rRNA from 1 species